rnacentral:rRNA from 1 species
GAUGAACGCUGGCGGCGUGCCUAAUACAUGCAAGUCGAGCGAACGGACGAGAAGCUUGCUUCUCUGAUGUUAGCGGCGGACGGGUGAGUAACACGUGGAUAACCUACCUAUAAGACUGGGAUAACUUCGGGAAACCGGAGCUAAUACCGGAUAAUAUUUUGAACCGCAUGGUUCAAAAGUGAAAGACGGUCUUGCUGUCACUUAUAGAUGGAUCCGCGCUGCAUUAGCUAGUUGGUAAGGUAACGGCUUACCAAGGCAACGAUGCAUAGCCGACCUGAGAGGGUGAUCGACCACCCUGGAGCGGGGACACGGUCCAGACUCCUACGGGAGGAAGCAGUAGGGAAUCUUCCGCAAUGGGCGAAAGCCUGACGGAGCAGCGCCGCGUGAGUGAUGAAGGUCUUCGGAUCGUAAAACUCUGUUAUUAGGGAAGAACAUAUGUGUAAGUAACUGUGCACAUCAUGGCGGUACCUAAUCAGAAAGCCACGGCUAACUACGUG